UCGCCCACAAUGCCCUCAACGGUUUCAACACGGAUGUGGCUGGGUGCGUGGUGUGAGCGGAUACGAUGCACUUGCCGGUCGGCGUAAGCCGAAGCCCUGUGAAGGGGCAUCCCUGCUGGGGCCGUAGUCGACGCAGGGUCGUCGUCUCAGUUGGUUCCAUCUUUGGUCUCCUCGCGCUAACCCCGUAGCGUGUGGUUUUUAGCGGGCUCCAGGCCCGCUUUUUUUU
rnacentral:ncRNA from 1 species